GCACAGUAAACGAUGAAUACUCGCUGUUUGCGAUACACUGUAAGCGGCCAAGCGAAAGCGUUAAGUAUUCCACCUGGGGAGUACGCCGGCAACGGUGAAACUCAAAGGAAUUGACGGGGGCCCGCACAAGCGGAGGAACAUGUGGUUUAAUUCGAUGAUACGCGAGGAACCUUACCCGGGCUUAAAUUGCGCUGGCUUUUACCGGAAACGGUAUUUUCUUCGGACCAGCGUGAAGGUGCUGCAUGGUUGUCGUCAGCUCGUGCCGUGAGGUGUCGGCUUAAGUGCCAUAACGAGCGCAACCCUUAUCUUUAGUUACUAACAGUUUUGCUGAGGACUCUAAAGAGACUGCCGUCGUAAGAUGCGAGGAAGGUGGGGAUGACGUCAAAUCAGCACGGCCCUUACGUCCGGGGCUACACACGUGUUACAAUGGGGAGCACAGCAGGUUGCUACACGGCGACGUGAUGCCAAUCCGUAAAACUCCUCUCAGUUCGGAUCGAAGUCUGCAACCCGACUUCGUGAAGCUGGAUUCGCUAGUAAUCGCGCAUCAGCCACGGCGCGGUGAAUA
rnacentral:rRNA from 1 species